CUGCACUCUAUUUGGGUCAGAUAUAAACCGAGUUUAGGUGUAGUUUAUUUAGCAACAGUUCUCUUACGUGUUGCUGAUAGCCGGCUGGCUAGCUAGCUAGCGCCGCUAGCUUAGCUAGCUAGCGCGGCUAGCGACCCUUCGUGAAAAACCACCCAGGCUUGGCUGAUAGUGAGGUGGCUAAAAUUUGUUUAAUCGCCUGAUCGCUCGGCAAGGGUCUGUGUCUUAGCUGGACUUAUUUUUCGUUUAUAUGGGCCGAUGAUGCUGGUCGAUGUGGAAAAAAUAACUGAGUUGUUUGGUGGUGGAGCUACAACAGAGGGCAGCUAUCCACCGGUGUGUGACAGAAAGGACAUGCCGCGAACGAGACAUACAAGGCGGUGAGGCUACCGCCGAUCGUCCGGUGUUUGCUAACGCGGAGGUCAAUCGUGGAUCAGGGAAAGCGAAGGCAGGAGCGUGAGGUGAACUGAAUUUCAGGUAAGAAGUUAUGACCUGCAGUCUAUUUGGGUCAGAUAUAAACCGAGUUUAGGUGUAGUUUAUUUAGCAGCAGUUCUCUUAUGUGUUGCUGAUAGCCGGCUAGCUAGCUAGCGCCGCUAGCAUAGUUAGCUAGCGCCGCUAGCGACCCUUCGUGAAAAAGCACCCAGGCUUGGCUUAUAUUGAGGCGGGUGAAACUCGUGUCAGCACCCGGUCGCUCGCCGACAGUAUGUGUUUUAGCUGGACUUAUUUUUCGUUUAUAUGGGCCGAUGAUGCUGGAAACCGAAGGCAGGAGCGUGAGGUGAACUGAAUUUCAGGUAAGAAGUUAUGACCUGCACUCUAUUUGGGUCAGAUAUAAACCGAGUUUAG
ensembl:lncRNA